UACGGGGGGGGGCAAGCGUUGUUCGGAAUUACUGGGCGUAAAGGGGACGUAGGCGGCCAACUAAGUCCGACGUGAAAUCCCAAGGCUUAACCUUGGAACUGCGUCGGAUACUGGAUGGCUUGAAUUCGGGAGAGGGAUGCAGAAUUCCAGGUGUAGCGGUGAAAUGCGCAGAUAUCAGGAAGAACACCUAUGGCGAAGGCAGCACUCUGGGACGGUACUGACGCUGAGACGCGAAAGCGUGGGGAGCGAACAGG
rnacentral:rRNA from 1 species